GGUUAUCCAGGUUUAAGCGUGUAGGGAGUGUUCUUAGGUAAAUCCGGGGACACAAUCCUGAGGCGUGAUGACGAGCUCUCUUUUGAGCGAAGUGGUUGAUGCCAUACUUCCAGGAAAAUCUUCUAAGCUUCAGGUAAUAAGAGACCGUACCCCAAACCGACACAGGUGGGUGGGAUGAAAAUUCUAAGGCGCUUGAGAGAACUCUGGUGAAGGAACUAGGCAAAAUUGUACCGUAACUUCGGGAGAAGGUACGCCC
rnacentral:rRNA from 1 species